AUUGAACGCUGGCGGAAUGCUUUACACAUGCAAGUCGAACGGCAGCACGGGGCAACCUGGUGGCGAGUGGCGAACGGGUGAGUAAUACAUCGGAACGUGCCCAAUCGUGGGGGAUAACGUAGCGAAAGUUACGCUAAUACCGCAUACGAUCUACGGAUGAAAGCGGGGGAUCGCAAGACCUCGCGCGAAUGGAGCGGCCGAUGUCAGAUUAGGUAGUUGGUGGGGUAAAGGCUCACCAAGCCAACGAUCUGUAGCUGGUCUGAGAGGACGACCAGCCACACUGGAACUGAGACACGGUCCAGACUCCUACGGGAGGCAGCAGUGGGGAAUUUUGGACAAUGGGGGCAACCCUGAUCCAGCCAUGCCGCGUGAGUGGAGAAGGCCU
rnacentral:rRNA from 1 species